UANNCUGCAGUCGACGAACUCUGGUAUUGAUUGGUGCUUGCUCAUGAUUUACAUUUGAGUGAGUGGCGAACUGGUGAGUAACACGUGGGAAACCUGCCCAGAAGCGGGGGAUAACACCUGGAAACAGAUGCUAAUACCGCAUAACAACUUGGACCGCAUGGUCCGAGUUUGAAAGAUGGCUUCGGCUAUCACUUUUGGAUGGUCCCGCGGCGUAUUAGCUAGAUGGUGGGGUAACGGCUCACCAUGGCAAUGAUACGUAGCCGACCUGAGAGGGUAAUCGGCCACAUUGGGACUGAGACACGGCCCAAACUCCUACGGGAGGCAGCAGUAGGGAAUCUUCCACAAUGGACGAAAGUCUGAUGGAGCAACGCCGCGUGAGUGAAGAAGGGUUUCGGCUCGUAAAACUCUGUUGUUAAAGAAGAACAUAUCUGAGAGUAACUGUUCAGGUAUUGACGGUAUUUAACCAGAAAGCCACGGCUAACUACGUGCCAGCA
rnacentral:rRNA from 2 species